rnacentral:lncRNA from 1 species
GUCGACCAUCAUAACCAGUAGCUUGUUUAGAGUGAGUGGAUAAAACUUAUUUUUCAGAAAUAAGUCUUCUUUAAAUUUUAAAGUUAUUUAUUUUAUAAAGUUGACUUCAUAGCAUUAUUUUCAGAAUAAAAUGGAUUUUAUUAUCAAUUGCUUUUAUAGUUAAAUUCAGUUCAGUUAAAUUAUUUUGAAAGCUUGUUAUAUUCUUAUUACAUGUUUCAGUACAGUUAAAGUUAUUUCUAAAAACCACCAGAAAGUACCCAGGUGAUUUUACCCCAGUUUGCACUGAUGUGAAUGUGUUUCCACAGUGUAUGAUUAGUUAUAGUGAUUUUACCCGCUCUGCACUAUCGUGAAUGUGUUUCCAUAGUGUAUGACCAGAAUAUCAGAGGUCUUUGGGACCCACUCUCGUACACACAUAGGCUUUGGGCCGUGUACUAAGGUGAUUAGCCUUUGGGGCAGCUCUGCGUACGUAUGACCAGAUUAUCAGCUAUCAGAUUAUCAGAUUUGAAUGUCUUUGCCUUGUACAUCGAGAUUACUCUAUGCAUGUGUAAGGCUAUUAAUUGGGUACUCUUUAUGGUGUGAUUUUUCAGAACUUAUUCAGUUCUUAGAUUUCAGAUUAUGGAAUUCAGUUUUCAGAAUAAAGCGUUCAGCUUCUAGUAUAGAGCAGCAGCAAUAUUUCAUAGAUUUUCAUGAAUAUCAGAUUCUUUAUAAUUGUUAUACCUUACAUAUACUUAUCUAGAAUUUAGAACAAAGAAUUUUAUGAUGAAAUUAUGUUUAGUUUUAAAAGUGUUACCAGAUUUUAGAAUUUUUCAAAGUUUUGAUAGAGCAAGAAUUUUCAAAAUAUAUGCAUAAAAGAAAAAUAUGUUUAUUUGUAAAUUAUCCACUCACUGAGCUUUAAGCUCAUAUAUUUUUUCACAUUUUUUCUUUAUCAGACAGAAAACAGACAAAUUGAGCAGUUUUGGAGCAUGUCGAACCACCGAAUUGAGCCAUGCGUCAUAGGUUGUAUGACAUCUUUUAUCGGAUUAUACAUUGUGUUCUUUUGGGAUACACAUAGGUUAAAUCAGAAAAGUUCAUUAUGGGCUCAUUAGAUAUUUGGUAUCUUUAGUACUUUUGAAGAUUAUUGGUUGUAAAGCAAGUAAAUAUUGAUUUCCUAGCAUUAUAUUUGAAUAGUUUGUAUUUUUGAGGGUCUGGUAUACCCUGAUUUAUAUUAUAGGUAUUGAUUUGAGAAAAAUUGGUUAUUGUUCAGGUAGUUUUAGUUUGUAUUUUAGAGGAAAUUUUGUCAAAAUUCUGUUAAAAAUAUUUUUCAGUCAAACAAGUCAAAGUUGCCUUGGUGGUGGGUCCGACGUUUAACUGGCAUCUACCACCGGCACACGACACGUGUCGAGUCAAUUAGGUUGAGUCGGGACGGAUCGUACACCCAUCAAGAUUACGCCGUCGACUUGGUUUUCAUCUCCAGCAAAUUUCGCUUGAUUGAACUAUGAAUAAGCCCAAGGUUUUCAGCUAUAUAACUAUUACUCUUGCAUAAACCCUAACCUCCUACCCAUUUUGCCGUCGUAGUUGUGACUCUCUCCGGCCGGCGUCGUUCAGCGGUUCCAUUGGGAGGCCAACAUCUUCAGACCUUAUCUCUAACCCAUUUUGCGAGUAAAGUUUAUUAUUUGUUUCAUAUCCUCUGCACAUUUCUUGGGAAGGUAUUUUUUUUAGGUUUUUAUAUAAUCUUCAUGUUCUUGAAAACCUGUUAAUCUGCAGCUUAUGGCAUGGUAUGCGAUGGAUUUUUUUGUUCCGAUUUAACUUUCAUUAUUGAAUUUUUCAUUAUUUUGAUAUGUACAGAAAAAUAGAGGCAUUUAUAACUUGUUGAAAUUGGUCUUAUCGAGUUUAGAUGGUAAAUUACUUUCAUAAUCUAUUUGUUUAGAAGUAUUAAAUCACUAUAUUUGGCUAGAGAAAGUGAAAUGAGAGCACAUUUAAAUUGUGAUUCAUAUGGUCUGUUUUUCUGGUGAUGAUAGUAUCCCAUUUCAAUUUUGAUGAUUUUCGGUUAUACCUGUAAGUGCAAGUAGAAGUCGUUGCUGGAAUGUUCUUUGAAUUUUGAUGAUUUUGAUGGAAUUGGUCCUAUCGAAUUUAGAAGUCAUUGCUGGAAUGUUCUUUGAAUGAUUUUCUGGUGAUGGAAUGUUCGUUGCUGGAAUGAUUUUCAUAUCAAUUUUGAUUAUUUUGAUGGUCUGUUGCUGGAAUGUUCUUUGAAUUCUACGUUGGAUGGUAGAAUUUAUUUGUUGGAUUCCUAUGGUGGUAUAGAAUGUUGCUUAAGUUUUUAUCGAGUUGUUUUUUCGGGAUCUCUAUUUCAUUUUAGUUUGUAAUGAAAUCCUCUAAAUAUAGUUUGCCGCAUAGGGAUGAGAGGAAGGAAUUAUGGUGUUUGUCACAGUUGUAGAAGCACAAAUUGCCAAGCAUGUUCGAACAUCUAGCUCAAAACGCCAAGAAAUGAAACUUCGAGAUUUCGUUGAACGUGACAUUCUGCAAAGGAAAAGAGCCCUCGAAUGAUAAUGGAGGUUGCAUUAUUUAUUUAUUUUUUGAUCGGUAAAUGUAAAUAUAUAGAUAAAAAAUGUACCAUGUACAAAUACACCGGGCAUACCCGGGCGAGACAAUGUCCAUAAUCAAAUACAAGUACACCGGGCAUAUCCGGGCGAAUCAAAAUCAAUGAUAAGUACAAGUACACCGGGCAUUCCCGGGCAAAUCAAAAUCCAAAAUCAAAACAACUACUCCGGGCAUAUCCGGGAGACACAAAGAAGGCAAAAUACAUAAGAGAUCAAUGAUCCACGGCCAAGGAUUCAAAAAGAAUCAAGACAUUCGGAUAUAAAGUAAACAUGACUUUGUAUACGUGUGUCUUGAUCCUUCUAACAAUAGAAUCCAAGUCGGCCGGGAGGUUUUCAAAAAUCUUCCUAUUCCUCGUAAGCCAUAUGUAGUAAACUGUGCUAGCAUAUGGUAUCAUGAGUAAAAUGCAAUAACUCUAGCAAGCACUGUCAGCAAUAACUCGGCAUUAAGAUGGAUUAGAAUACAAAUAUGGAACUCAAUUUUUAAGCAAGAAUAGAAAUGUCGAUUUUUAUCUACAGGAAAGGACAUUAACAUGAAAAGUUGAAAACUUGGUUACUUAUAAAAUCUGUGCAAGGAAUUUUUAUGAUCUGCCUAAAUUAUUCUAUGCAUCUUUCGGUGACACCUUAGCAGUCUAUCUCACAUUUUUCUAUCCAAUUACUCACAUAUGAAAUGCAUAUCGUGUAGAGCUCUUAAUUGCACAGCUCUUUCAAAUCCCCGACAUUUUCUUCAAGAAAGGAUUAAAGCAUUUAGAACCCAAUAAGAAUGGUGGGGGGGGGGCUAGUCAACAAGCAAUAACAUUACUUGACAUCCAACAAUAACUACACAUUACUUGCCAUCAACAAUAACUCAGCAUUACUUACCAUCAACAACAACUCACUAGUCACAAAAAGGAAUCUGUAAAAGAUUGGCAUGAAGUAUUUCACAAACAUUACUUACCAUCAACAAUAACUAGAUAUUAGAACAAUAAUUACCGUCAGCUAAAAAUGCUAAACUAGCCAAAUAUCAGCCCUUGACAAAGAAAUCAGGUCUUCUACGCGAACUAAAAAAUUAAAAACAGAAUACAUAACCAGCCAACACUUUUUCCUUCCUUUUUUUCGAGAAUCGGUGAGGGGGUGUCCCUUUUGUAGGAUGUAGGUGAAAUACAGAUUUGGCUAUUGCCGGAGUUGGGCAUCACCAUUUUCAUGGUCGAGGAGUGUGGGCUUCGAUUUCGGGGAAUGUCGAGCAGUGAGGGCUUCUAUUUCACCUUCACUGGAUUUCGGGAUUUCGUCUUCACCGGCGCUUAAUUUCACGAGUAGCUCCGGUGAGGUAGGCGGGCCGGCGAGGGUGGGGGAAUAUACUUUGACGGGACUUCUCUGGCUUCUCCACGUGAUGUGCUUUCCGCUUUCCCUUAUGUUUCGGAUUGGAUAUGUUUCGGAUUGGACGAUCAUUUCAAAGUCAAAGAAAUCUGCUCCCAAUUCGUCACCUGAGGAGCACGUUUUUCCUAAAAUUCAAACUUCUGCAAAUUUUCUGUCAGGCCAUUAUGUACAAGAGGCUGUAGUGAUAUUCUUAUGGUGAAAAAGACAAUAAAGAUAAACGUAAAGCAUAUAAAGUUUUUCCUUGAACCGUGAGAAAG